UACGGAGGGUGCGAGCGUUGUCCGGAAUCAUUGGGCGUAAAGGGCGCGUAGGUGGCCCGGUCAGUUCGUGGUGAAAGCGCGGGGCUCAACCCUGCGUCGGCCAUGAAUACUGCCGCGGCUGGAGCACUGUAGAGGCAGGCGGAAUUCCAGGUGUAGCGGUGGAAUGCGUAGAGAUCCGGAAGAACACCGGUGGCGAAGGCGGCCUGCUGGGCAGUUGCUGACACUGAGGUGCGAAAGCGUGGGGAGCAAACAGG
rnacentral:rRNA from 1 species